UACAUGUGGGGCAAGCGUUGUUCGGAAUUACUGGGCAUAAAGGGUGCGUAGGCGGCUUGUUAAGUCAGGGGUGAAAGUUUUCGGCCCAACCGGAAAACUGCCUUUGAUACUGGCGAGCUCGAGUGCGUGAGGGGUAACCGGAACGAGCAGUGUAGCGGUGAAAUGCGUAGAUAUUGCUCGGAAGGCCAACGGCGAAGGCAGGUUACUGGUACGCAACUGACGCUGAGGCACGAAAGCGUGGGGAGCAAACAGG
rnacentral:rRNA from 1 species